GCAAGUAUCCAGGUCUGGGGCUUGAACCAGAGAGUGGGGAGUCCAGUGCCCUUAACCACUUCCACCGGCUGGCCCCUGAGGUUGAGGGUGGCAGGGCGCUGACUCGCAGGAGGUUCUGGGUAUACUCCUGGAUCUGGGCUCUGGGCUAUGCGGUGCACCUCACUGUUCCCGACCUCUGCAGCCGUGAGUCCACUCCUCCCUGGUACCCCACAGCCUCCCGGGGUGUCUCGCCACUAACUGCGAGCGGAGACCCUGAACUGAGCCAGACUCCGGCCCGGCGUCUUUCCUUUGAUUCUCACAGGGAGCUGGGAAAGCAGGCACAGGUGCGUGGCCUGCUCCCCACGCGGUCCGCUCAGGCGCUGCUCUCACAGAACGAGUGCUAGCGUCUCUUCUCAAAGCCCCAUCAGCACCGGACGCUGUCAGUCAAAGGACGAGAGGGCGUGUUUCCCGGACUCUCGUUGGAACACGGGAUUGCGUCUGAUGAAAUGUAAUUAUGCCCCCCACCCCCACCCCCUUCUCUGGGACAGCCGCAGCGCUCGCUGGAUCCGAGAUGCACGUUUGCCGAACGCCGCGCGGAACGGCGCCCGGCCGGACUCGAGGCCCUGCAGACCUGCCCUGCGUGGUCCGCCCGGGGCGCCACGGGGGCAUGGCCUCUGCGGAGUUCGCGCGGAGCGACUGGCUGCGGGCGCCGGCAGGCCAGAGCACGAGCUGGCAGGCCCCUCCUGCGACAUCUGCCCCUCGGUGACGCCGGUCUUUCCCGGAACCCUCAGGCUCAUCUCCUCGCUUGCGAAAUGACCACCGCCCGGGAGCCACGCGCCUCUGCUGGGGCCCCCACAGCCGCCGUCCGCGCUGCUGAAAUGCCAGCCCGCCGCAUCUCGAAUCCCUGCUGCGAGGACUCUGCGCUUAGGCAGCGGGGCCACCCGGCUGAUCCCGAGACGCAUCUCGAGGGCCUUCGCUCCGGCACGUCUGCAGAGCCCGCGCUGUAACGUUCAAGGUUCCGGGGGUACCAAGGCGCCUGAUGCAAACUAUUCACCACCUUAGACACCAGGGAAGCCUUAAACAGGUGAGGAAAGAUGCCAGCUUUCUUCCCAGGAAACUCAGUACAGCGCAGAUGUCCGCUCCACCCUAACUGGUCUGGAGACCAGCUGCCACCUCAAAACCACAGCAAGAGGUUCCGUGCGCACUGCCAAGUCCACGCUCGGGAAAUGCAAAGGCCAAGGUCGGCCCAGGGUGAGCGCCUCCAAGG